rnacentral:tRNA from 1 species
UCCACGGUGGCUCAGAUGGUAAAGAAUCUGCCUGCAACGCAGGAGACCUAGGUUCGAUCCCUAGGUUGGGAA